AGUUGAGCAAUUUUCCUUUAGCCGACAUUAGGGCUCCAAUCCCUGAGUUAAGCAAGUUUCUUUUAGCCGACAUUAGGGCUCCAAUCCCUAAGUUGAGCAAGUUUCCUCUAGCCGACAUUAGGGCUCCAAUCCCUGAGUUGAGCAAGUUUCCUUUAGCCGACAUUAGGGCUCCAAUCCCUGAGUUGAGAGCGAUUUUCUUUUAGCCGACAUUAAGGCUCCAAUCCCUGAGUUGAGUAAGUUUCCUUUAGCCGACAUUAGGGCUCCAAUCCCUGAGUUGAGCGAUUUUCUUUUAGCCAACAUUAGGGCUCCAAUCCAUGAGUUGAGCAAUUUUCCUUUAGCCGACAUUAGGGCUCCAAUCCCUGAGUUGAGCAAGUUUUACUUUAGCUGACAUUAGGGCUCCAAUCCCUGAGUUGAGCGAUUUUCUUUUAGCCGACAUUAGGGCUCCAAUCCCU
rnacentral:lncRNA from 1 species